CAUGCAGUCGAGCGGGGGAGGUUGCUUCGGUAACUGACCUAGCGGCGGACGGGUGAGUAAUACUUAGGAAUCUGCCUAUUAAUGGGGGACAACAUCUCGAAAGGGAUGCUAAUACCGCAUACGCCCUACGGGGGAAAGCAGGGGAUCACUUGUGACCUUGCGUUAAUACCUGAGCCUAAGUCGGAUUAGCUAGUUGGUGGGGUAAAGGCCUACCAAGGCGACGAUCUGUAGCGGGUCUGAGAGGAUGAUCCGCCACACUGGGACUGAGACACGGCCCAGACUCCUACGGGAGGCAGCAGUGGGGAAUAUUGGACAAUGGGGGGAACCCUGAUCCAGCCAUGCCGCGUGUGUGAAGAAGGCCUUAUGGUUGUAAAGCACUUUAAGCGAGGAGGAGGCUCUUUUGGUUAAUACCCAAGAUGAGUGGACGUUACUCGCAGAAUAAGCACCGGCUAACUCUGUGCCAGCAGCCGCGGUAAUACAGAGGGUGCGAGCGUUAAUCGGAUUUACUGGGCGUAAAGCGUGCGUAGGCGGCAAUUUAAGUCGGAUGUGAAAUCCCCGAGCUUAACUUGGGAAUUGACUUCGAUACUGGGAAGCUAGAGUAUGGGAGAGGAUGGUAGAAUUCCAGGUGUAGCGGUGAAAUGCGUAGAGAUCUGGAGGAAUACCGAUGGCGAAGGCAGCCAUCUGGCCUAAUACUGACGCUGAGGUACGAAAGCAUGGGGAGCAAACAGGAUUAGAUACCCUGGUAGUCCAUGCCGUAAACGAUGUCUACUAGCCGUUGGGGUCUUUGAGACUUUAGUGGCGCAGCUAACGCGAUAAGUAGACCGCCUGGGGAGUACGGUCGCAAGACUAAAACUCAAAUGAAUUGACGGGGGCCCGCACAAGCGGUGGAGCAUGUGGUUUAAUUCGAUGCAACGCGAAGAACCUUACCUGGUCUUGACAUAGUAAGAACUUUCCAGAGAUGGAUUGGUGCCUUCGGGAACUUACAUACAGGUGCUGCAU
rnacentral:rRNA from 1 species